rnacentral:rRNA from 1 species
GAUGAACGCUGGCGGCGUGCCUAACACAUGCAAGUCGAACGAACAGACACGAAGCUUUCUCCUUUGACGUUAGCGGCGGGCGGGUGAGUAACGCGUGCAUCACCUACCUAUAUUUCGUGGAUGACUUCGGAAAACCGGAUCUAAUACCAGAUAAUAUGUUCAACCGCAGGAAUCAAUAGUGCAUUACUCCUUUGGUGUCUCGUAUAGCCGGAUCCGCGCUGCAUUGGCUAGUUGGUAAGGUAACGGCUUACCAAGGCACCGAUGCGUAGCCGACCUGAGAGGGUGAUCGGCCACACUGGAACUGAGACACGGUCCAGACUCCUACGGGAGGCAGCAGUAGGGAAUCUUCGGCAAUGGGCGAAAGCUUGACCGAGCAAGGCCGCGUGAGUGAUGAAGGUCUUCGGAUCGUAAAACCCUGUUAUUGGGGAAGAACAAAUGUGUAAGAAUCUAUGGACGUUUUGACGGUACCUAAAGAAAAAGCAACGGCUAACUACGUG